GACGAACGCUGGCGGCGUGCUUAACACAUGCAAGUCGAACGGAAAGGCCCCUUUGGGGGUCCUCGAGUGGCGAACGGGUGAGUAACACGUGAGUAACCUGCCCUUGACUUCGGGAUAACUUCAGGAAACUGGGGCUAAUACCGGCUAGGAAUCCUUGCUGCAUGGUGGGGGUUGGCAAGCUUCGGCGGUUUUGGAUGGACUCGCGGCUUAUCAGCUUGUUGGUGGGGUAGUGGCUUACCAAGGCUUUGACGGGGAGCCGGCCUGGGCGGGCGACCGGCCACAUUGGCACUGAGAUACGGCCCAGACUCCUACGGGAGUCAUCGGCGGUGAAUGUUGCACUGUGGGCGGAAGCUUGAUUCAGCAACGCCGCGUGCGUGAUUAGGGCCUUCGUGUUGUAAGCCGCUUUCAGCAGGGGCGAGGCUUGUGUUGACGGUACCUGAUGAAUAAGCACCGGCUAACUACGUG
rnacentral:rRNA from 1 species